GACGAACGCUGGCGGCGUGCUUAACACAUGCAAGUCGAGCGGUAAGGCCCUUUCGGGGGUACACGAGCGGCGAACGGGUGAGUAACACGUGGGUGACCUGCCCUCAGCUCUGGGAUAAGCCUGGGAAACCGGGUCUAAUACCGGAUAUGACUCCAUGACGCAUGUUGUGGGGUGAAAAGCCUUGUGCGGCUGAGGAUGGGCCCGCGGCCUAUCAGCUUGUUGGUGGGGUGAUGGCCUACCAAGGCGACGACGGGUAGCCGGCCUGAGAGGGCGACCGGCCACACUGGGACUGAGACACGGCCCAGACUCCUACGGGAGGCAGCAGUGGGGAAUCUUGCGCAAUGGGCGAAAGCCUGACGCAGCGACGCCGCGUGAGGGAUGACGG
rnacentral:rRNA from 1 species